UACGAAGGGGGCUAGCGUUGCUCGGAAUUACUGGGCGUAAAGGGCGCGUAGGCGGCCAGUUUAGUCAGAGGUGAAAGCCCAGGGCUCAACCUUGGAAUUGCCUUUGAUACUGGCUGUCUUGAGUACGGGAGAGGUGAGUGGAACUCCGAGUGUAGAGGUGAAAUUCGUAGAUAUUCGGAAGAACACCAGUGGCGAAGGCGACUCACUGGCCCGUUACUGACGCUGAGGCGCGAAAGCGUGGGGAGCAAACAGG
rnacentral:rRNA from 1 species